GAUGAACGCUGGCGGCGUGCCUAAUACAUGCAAGUCGAGCGAACGGACGCGACGCUUGCUUCUCUGAUGUUAGCGGCGGACGGGUGAGUAACACGUGUAUAACCUACCUAUCAGACUGGGAUAACUUCGGGAAACCGGAGCUAAUACCGGAUAAUAUUUUGAACCGCAUGGUUCAAAAGUGAAAGACGGUCUUGCUGUCACUUAUAGAUGGAUCCGCGCUGCAUUAGCUAGUUGGUAAGGUAAAGGCUUACCACGGCAACGAUGCAUAGCCGACCUGAGAGGGGGAUAGGCCACACGGGAACUGAGACGCGGUCCAGACUCCUACGGGAGGCAGCAGUAGGGAAUCUUCCGCAAUGGUCGAAAGCCUGACGGAGCAACGCCGCGUGAGUGAUGAAGGUCUUCGGAGCGUAAAACUCUGUUACUAGGGAAGAACAUAUGUGUAAGUAACUGUGCACAGCUUGACGGUACCUAAUCAGAAAGCCACGGCUAACUACGUG
rnacentral:rRNA from 1 species